rfam:Oryza rufipogon genomic scaffold, chr09
UUUAAACUCAGUUAUGGGUUUGUGAGUUUAAAGUUUGACCGUCCGUCUUAUUUAAAAUUUUUAUAUGAUUAGUAUUUUUAUUUUUAUUACAUGAUAAAAUAUGAAUAGUACUUUAUGUAUUGCUUUUUUCUAAAAUCAACUUUAUAAAUUUUAUAAAUAAGACGGAGGGUCAAAAGUUGAAUACAGAAAUUUAUAACUGCACUUAAA